rnacentral:lncRNA from 1 species
UUCACUAUCUUCAAUUUGUUUAGAUUCCGAAUCUCUAUUAGAAUUGUCCCUCGUAGAGAAUUGAUGUUUCUAGCUUUGGUGACAUGAGAUUUUACAUUCAAGCACCCAGUGAUUAAUUAGCUUUGAAAUAUUUAUCUAAAAUAUAAAACUUUGUAAUGCAUACCAAGGGAUGCUUAUUAAUACACGCAACUUAUUAUGUAAAUGCCUCUUUACAUUUAGUCAAAAUUCCCUAAAUGACAAUUAAAACAUGGAGCCCUUUUAAAUUAUUAAUCAAUAGUUUUAUAUUUGAUUGUCAGGUAAAUACGGCAAAUAGUUAUAUGCACAUUUAUCUGAUAUCUGCUAAAAUUCAAGAGCUAGGAUGGUACCAAUCAAAUUGUUCUCGUUAAGAUAUAGUCGCUUGAGCGCCGUCAAGUUCCCAAAUCCUUCCGGUAUUACUCCAAUCAAAUUGUUCUCACCAAGAUAUAGUUCCUGGAGUGCCGUCAAGUUCCCAACUUCUUCCGGCAUCACUCCACUAAAGUUGUUGCCACCCAACCUCAGUACCUGAAGCUUCGAACAUUCCGAUAACGAUGGUGGUAUCGCACCACUUAAUUUGUUGAGGCUAAGGUCAAGCCAUGUGAGUCCUUGAAGACGGGGACAUAUGCUGGAUGGAAGACUGCCAGAUAAGCUAUUAUUUUGAAGAGCAAUAACUU